UUACAGGUCUCCGUUUGGUGACCAGCGGAGGGAUCAUUUACAGAGUUUUCCUAAACUCCUAACCCUAUGUGAACUUACCUUUGUUGCUUCGGCGGCGGAGGCUACCCUACGGGGCUACCACCUAGUGGUUACCCUGUAGUCCCAGGUGCUGAUUCGUUCCCAGCGUUUCUCGCAAACGGUCAGCUACCCGGUGGCCCUCCCCGCCGGCGGCCAACUAAACUCUGUUUUCUUUGACAUUCUGAAUUAUAAACUUAAUAAGUUAAAACUUUCAACAACGGAUCUCUUGGUUCUGGCAUCGAUGAAGAACGCAGCGAAAUGCGAUAAGUAAUGUGAAUUGCAGAAUUCAGUGAAUCAUCGAAUCUUUGAACGCACAUUGCGCCCAUUAGCAUUCUAGUGGGCAUGCCUGUUCGAGCGUCAUUUCACCACUUAAGCCCUGUUGCUUAGCGUUGGGAGCCUACGGCACGGCCCGUAGCUCCCUAAAGUGAUUGGCGGAGUUGGUUCUCACUCUAAGCGUAGUAAAUCUAUCUCGCUUCUGUAGUGGUGCCGGCCCUUGCCGUAAAACCCCCUAUAUCAAAGGUUGACCUCGGAUCAGGUAGGAAUACCCGCUGAACUUAAGAAAAAGG
rnacentral:rRNA from 1 species